rnacentral:rRNA from 1 species
AUCGAACGCUGGCGGCAGGCCUAACACAUGCAAGUCGAGCGAGCGGUGGACGGGUGAGUAAUGUCUGGGAAACUGCUUGAUGGAGGGGGAUAACUACUGGAAACGGUAGCUACUACCGCAUACCAUCAGAUUGGCCCAGAUGGGUUUAGCUAGUGGAGGGGGUAACGGCGCCCCUAGGCGACGAUCCCUAGCUGGUCUGAGAGGAUGACCAGCAACACUGGAACUAGGACACGGUCCAAACUCCGCCGGAAGGCAGCGUUGGGGAAUAUUGCACAAUGGGCGCAAGCCUGAGGCAGCCAUGCGGCGUGUGUGAAAAAGGCCUUGGGUUUGUAAAGUACUUUCAGCGGGGAGGCGUUACCCGCAGAAAAAGCACCGGCUAACUCCGUGCCAGCAGCCGCGGUAAUUC